UACGGAGGAUGCGAGCGUUAUCCGGAUUUAUUGGGUUUAAAGGGUGCGUAGGCGGACUGUCAAGUCAGCGGUAAAAUUGAGAGGCUCAAUCUCUUCCCGCCGUUGAAUCUGGUGGUCUUGAGUGGAUGAGAAGUACGCGGAAUGCGUGGUGUAGCGGUGAAAUGCAUAGAUAUCACGCAGAACUCCGAUUGCGAAGGCAGCGUACCGGCAUCCAACUGACGCUGAGGCACGAAAGCGUGGGGAUCAAACAGG
rnacentral:rRNA from 1 species